ACAGUGGCCAUCAUGUUGAGUUCUGUCACGUCCACGCUCCCAAAACCUGAUGUAACAUUCAAAAUGGGUUAAACAUGUAUCAGUUAAUUUACGUAACACUAAAUAUUCAUUGUUUAACAAACACACAGAAAGAUAUCUACGCUUCAGAUGUGCGUGUAAAAAGUACAAUCGAUAUGCUUAGAGAAUACAUUAUUAUUUUUCUCAACAUGAAUAAAUAUCUCUUGCAAAAGACAAACUUUUUUUGGUAGAGAUUUAAAUAGCAGUAUAAAAUAGGGCAAAUAUAUGUAGUAUAUAUUUAAUAUAAUAAAUAGUUUCGGGCUUGAUAUUUGUUGUUUCAAUGCAUUUCAAAUAGUAAAGAUCAUACCGAACGGGUUAUACUAGACUAAGUAUAUAUGGGGUAUUUGCAGUUUGUUUUGAAAAUAGAAUCUAGAAUUAACUACUAUUGCAAUAGAUAGUUUGUUAAUUUUAAAAUAUUAUAUAAGGACUAUGUCAUUUUUUCUAUAAAAAGAAUGACAUGUAUAGAGUAUAAAUAUUAUGUUCUUGUUGGAUAUUAAAAUUAUGCAACAAUU
rnacentral:sRNA from 1 species